rnacentral:pre_miRNA from 1 species
AGGAGAAACAACCAGAGUGGCUGCAGCCAGCUCUGGAGCCCUGGAUUCACCUCCCGCAGUAACUACAGAGCUCUCUGUCCGCAGGGGCCUGGAGGCUUUGGGGCGGG